GCCAGAGCCGUAUCUCCCUGUGGUUCUCACCUGGUUUCCACUGAAGCUAAGCAGGAUUGAGCCUAGCCAGUACCUGGAUGGGAGACUUGCUGGGGAAACUUAAGGUUGCUACUGGAA
rnacentral:rRNA from 1 species